rnacentral:rRNA from 1 species
CGACCUGACUGAUUACGAUUGUGCUAGCAGCCGCGCGGUAAGACAGGGGAUGCAAGCGUUACUCGGAAUUACUGGGCGUAAAGCGUCUGCAGGUGUCCCGCCACGUCUGGCGUAAAAGCACAGAGCCUAACUCUGUGUUCGUGCCGGAAACGAGCGGGAUUGAGUCACCCAGAGGCAUCUGGAAUGUCGUGUGUAGGGGUAAAAUCCGUAGAUCCACGAUGGAACGCCAAAAGCGAAGGCAGGAUGCUAGGGGUGUACUGACACUCAGAGACGAAAGCGUGGGGAGCAAAGGGGAUUAGAUACCCCCGUAGUCCACGCCCUAAACGAUGCGGGCUCGGUGUAGGGACUUUUCAAUUGGUCUCUGUGCCUUAGCUAACGCGGUAAGCCCGCCGCCUGAGAACUACGGCCGCAAGGCUAAAACUUAAAGGAAUAGACGGGGACCCACACAAGCGGUGGAGCAUGGGGUUUAAUUCGAUGAUAAACGGAGAACCUCACCCAGACUUGGCAUCUAAAGAAUCCUGCAGAAAUGCGGGAGUGCCGCAAGGAACUUUAAGACAGGCGAUGCACGGUCGUCGUCAGCUCGUGCCUUGAGGCGUACUGUUAAGUCAGCGAACGAGCGCAACCCUCAUCCUAUGUUGCAAUUUCAUGGGAGACUGCCGCCUCCAAGGCGGAGGAAGGUGGGGAUGACGUCAGAUCAGCGUGUCCUUUAUGUCUGGGGCUACACCCAUGCUACAAUGGCCGGUACAGAGGGCAGCAAACCCGCGAGGGAGAGCAAAUCUCACAAAACCGGUCUCAGUUCGGAUUGCAGGCUGCAACUCGCCUGCAUGAAGUUGGAAUCGCUAGUAACCGUGGGUCAGCUAUACCACGGUGGAUACGUUCCUGGGUCUUGCACACACCGCCCGUCAAAUUGGCGAUGCGCUGAUGCCGUAUUUUCUCUACGCAUCUGUGCGAUUCCAACCGGCAAUUGUGCACUCUCAGAUCAUCGACCUGAUGCGCAUAGUAAGCAGCUCGCAAUCGUCAAACACCGCGUUGAC